rnacentral:rRNA from 1 species
UACGUAGGGUGCAAGCGUUGUCCGGAAUUAUUGGGCGGUAAAGAGCUCGUAGGCGGUUUGUUGCGUCGGCUGUGAAAUCCCGAGGCUCAAACCUCGGGUCUGCAGUCGAUACGAGCAAACUAGAGUGUUGCAGGGAGACUGGAUUCCUGGUGUAGCGGUGAAAUGACGCAGAUAUCAGGAGGAACACCGGUGGCGAAGGCGGGGUCUCUGGGGCAACAACUGACG